CAUGCCAUUUGUGUGUUGGAUUCAGAUGUGUCACUUUAAAAUUAAUCUAAAAUGCAUACGGUACUUAAAGAAUCCAUAUGCAUUUUAGAUCAAAUUUAAAGUGAUGCAUCUGAAUCCAACACACAAAUGGCAU